rnacentral:rRNA from 1 species
UACGUAGGGUCCGAGCGUUGUCCGGAAUUAUUGGGCGUAAAGGGCUCGUAGGCGGUUUGUCACGUCGGGCGUGAAAACUCAGGGCUCAACCCUGAGCGUGCGUUCGAUACGGGCAGACUAGAGGUAUGCAGGGGAGAACGGAAUUCCUGGUGUAGCGGUGGAAUGCGCAGAUAUCAGGAGGAACACCGGUGGCGAAGGCGGUUCUCUGGGCCGAUACUGACGCUGGAGGAGCGAAAGCGUGGGGAGCGAACAGG